rnacentral:rRNA from 1 species
AUUGAACGCUGGCGGCAGGCCUAACACAUGCAAGUCGAACGAAUGGCGGACGGGUGAGUAAUGGCUGGGAAACUGCCUGAUGGAGGGGUAUAACUACUGGAAACGGUGGCUAAUGCCGCAUACCAUCAGAUGGGCCCAGGUGGGAUUAGCUGGUUGGUGGGGUAACGGCGCACCAAGGCGACGAUCCCUAGCUGGUCUGAGAGGAUGACCAGCCACACUGGAACUGAGACACGGUCCAGACUCCUACGGGAGGCAGCAGUGGGGAAUAUUGCACAAUGGGCGAAAGUCUGAUGCAGCCAUGCCGCGUGUAUGAAGAAGGCUUUCGGGUUGUAAAGCACUUUCAGCGGGGAGGCGUUACCCACCGAAGAAGCACCGGCUAACUCCGUGCCAGCCGCCGCGGUAAUUC